CACCAGGCGCGAAAACUUUACAAUGCUGGAAACAGCGAUAAGGGGACCCCGAGUGCCAGGUUACAAAUCUGGCUGUCGUGAUGCCUAAAAAGCAUUGCAUAGCAAGGGCCGGGCAAGACCGGUGCCAGCCGCCGCGGUAACACCGGCGGCUCGAGUGGUAGCCGUUAUUAUUGGGUCUAAAGGGUCUGUAGCCGGCCGGAUAAGUCUCUUGGGAAAUCCAGCAGCUCAACUGUUGGGCUUUCAGGAGAUACUGUCUGGCUCGAGGCCGGGAGAGGUGAGAGGUACUUCAGGGGUAGGGGUGAAAUCUUGUAAUCCUUGAAGGACCACCAGUGGCGAAGGCGUCUCACCAGAACGGACCUGACGGCAAGGGACGAAAGCUAGGGGCACGAACCGGAUUAGAUACCCGGGUAGUCCUAGCCGUAAACGAUACUCGCUAGGUGUCGGCCACGGUGCGACCGUUGUCGGUGCCGUAGGGAAGCCGUGAAGCGAGCCACCUGGGAAGUACGGCCGCAAGGCUGAAACUUAAAGGAAUUGGCGGGGGAGCACAAGGGCGAAUCGC
rnacentral:rRNA from 1 species